rnacentral:rRNA from 1 species
AUUGAACGCUGGCGGCAGGCCUAACACAUGCAAGUCGAGCGAGAAAGCACUUCGGUGUGAGUACAGCGGCGGACGGGUGAGUAACGCGUAGGAAUCUACCUGGUAGUGGGGGACAACAUGGGGAAACCCAUGCUAAUACCGCAUACGCCCCAAGGGGGAAAGCGGGGGAUCUUCGGACCUCGCGCUAUCAGAUGAGCCUGCGUAGGAUUAGCUUGUUGGUGAGGUAAAGGCUCACCAAGGCGACGAUCCUUAGCUGGUCUGAGAGGAUGAUCAGCCACACUGGAACUGAGACACGGUCCAGACUCCUACGGGAGGCAGCAGUGGGGAAUAUUGCGCAAUGGGCGAAAGCCUGACGCAGCCAUGCCGCGUGUGUGAAGAAGGCCU